rnacentral:rRNA from 1 species
CGGAGGGUGCAAGCGUUAUCCGGAUUUAUUGGGUUUAAAGGGUCCGUAGGCGGAUCCGUAAGUCAGUGGUGAAAUCUCACAGUUUAACUGUGAAACUGCCAUUGAUACUGCGGGUCUUGAGUAAGGUAGAAGUGGCUGGAAUAAGUAGUGUAGCGGUGAAAUGCAUAGAUAUUACUUAGAACACCAAUUGCGAAGGCAGGUCACUAUGUCUUAACUGACGCUGAUGGACGAAAGCGUGGGGAGCGAACAGGAUUAGAUACCCUGGUAGUCCACGCCGUAAACGAUGCUAACUCGUUUUGGGCUUUCGGGUUCAGAGACUAGGCGAAAGUGAUAAGUUAGCCACCUGGGGAGUACGUUCGCAAGAAUG